rnacentral:rRNA from 1 species
AAUGGACGAAAGUCUGACGCAGCAAUACCGUGUGAGGGAUGAAGCAUUUCGGUGUGUAAACCUCUGUCGAUGAUGAAUAAAGCAUUGGGGAGUGGAAAGCCCCGGUGUUGAAGGUAAUCAUGAAGGAAGCACCGGCUAACUCUGUGCCAGCAGCCGCGGUAAUACAGGGGGUGCAAGCGUUGUUCGGAAUUACUGGGCGUAAAGGGAGCGUAGGCGGAAUUGCAAGACAGAGGUUAAAUCUCCGGGCUCAACCUGGAACUUGCCUUUGUGACUGCAGUUCUUGAGUAUGGUAGAGGUCAGUGGAAUUUCCGGUGUAGCGGUGGAAUGCGUAGAGAUCGGAAAGAACACCAGAGGCGAAGGCGACUGACUGGACCAAUACUGACGCUGAGGCUCGAAAGCGUGGGGAGCAAA